rnacentral:misc_RNA from 1 species
AAAAACAUAGGUUAAUUUCUGAUAAAAUAUAUUUUCAGUACAAUUUUCUCCAUUAAAGCUUUAACGAAUCACCAGGUUUGAGACGACUCGUCGGGAAAUGGGGCGCCGUCUCUUCACCUGCUUCGGCAAAGGCGGUUCUUCUCAUUCUUCUUCAAAAGAUCCCGGCUCGAAUAACAAGGACAGUGCGACGGCGGAUUUGACGGCGGAGGAGCAAAAACGGUGCGGGCCGGUGGUGGUGGAGUUAUUCUCAUCGCAAGGCUGCGCCACCUCACCUGAAGCGGAGCUGUUGUUUUCGAGGAUUGGGAGAGGCGAUUUUAACCUAGAAAUGCCGGUGAUUUUGUUGGCUUAUCAUGUGGAUUAUUGGGAUUAUAUGGGUUGGAAGGAUCCGUUUGGGUCGAGUUUAUGGACGGUUAAACAAAAAGCGUAUGUGGAGACCUUAAAUCUAGAUACCAUGUUUACGCCUCAAAUUGUGGUUCAGGGAAGAGCUCAAUGUGUUGGGAAUGAACAAGAUGCGGUUUUCUCUUGUAUCAAAUCUGCCCCCAGAUUUGCUGCUCCUUCCUUCCAGGCAACAUUCGAGAGGCCAACACCAGAGUCAUUGCAAGUAUCUCUAUUAGGAUCUCUAAGGAGUAAGGUGGACAAUGAUGGUGCCAACGUGAUGAUUGCUCUGUACGAAGGUGGUCUGGUGACUGAUAUCGCUGCAGGAGAGAACAAAGGAAAAAUGCUUGCGAAUGACUAUGUUGUCAGGAGGCUGGAAAAGCUUUGCUAUGUAAAGGAUAUUACUGCAAAGAAGACAAUCUCAGGAACUGUCAAUUUCUCUCUUUGGGAUGGCUUCAAUAGCAGCAAA